CCACCGGGGGAAUCCCCGGGGAUGUGUCCACCGUUUUAGAAGUUAGCUAUUCUUAUAUAAAAGUCACGCGAAGUUUAUAAAUAUUGCUUAGAGCUUUACUUUUCGUAACAUUGUUACCGAAAAUGAUGAUAAAAGCAAGCAUAAAGAGCGAAAAUAGAAGAGAGAUUAUUCUAGGAGGAUCCACCUCGCGGGAGACUCGGCCACCACAUUCCACCACAAAAAAAUCGAGAUAUUUACAUUAAAUAUGCCUCCAGUCAACUAUUUGUGUCAUAAUCAAUCGAUAAAUCUAACCUUCUCACUGCCGAAUUCGUUCGGCGGCCGAAUAAACUUCAUCAUUAUCAGCCAGCUAAACUUUCGCGCCAAGCUUCUGCCGGGCAUAUGCGUGUUGCUUGGCAACACCGCCCAUCACCUGUUCGCGACCGGCACUAGGCACUACAAUCAACAAUGGCGAGAUCGCCGGCCAGUUUGCAUUUUUGUCACAGGUUAUGUUGUUUUUCUACUAAUUUCGCUUGGAAAAACGCCUCGGCCUCCAUCCGCAACCGUUUAUUAAGAGCCGAGCUACGUUCGCACUGCGCACAGCUCUGCAACAUCGUCGCCAAGUGCACUUUUAUCCAUUCAGUAGAACGCCUCGUUGGAAAAGUGGAAGCGCGUACGUUUUACCCAAGACCUGGAAGAUGGGUUGAAAGAGAAAUUUCCACUCGUUGCUGACCUAUUUUGAUCACAGAGGCUUUUUCGUGCAGAGGUGAAACUAUCCCUGAAAGACCUUUUAAGGAGUGCGGCGCCUGCUGUUGACGUUGCUGUGGCGCACAAGAGCUGUUCUUGCUGGAACUACAUACGAGAAGUCAAAUUCAACCAGAUGAGCUGCACGAGCUCUCUUUCUAUGUCUUCCUCUGGAUUGACG